GCAGCUCUUUUCACCGGAUGCAGAGGAAGACCUUCUAGGGCUAGUGAGGAGUGCUACAAAGGGAAAUUGUUGCUGGAUAGCCUUUAAGUGUCAAGACCCAAUGUGAAGGACUGCAUUCCCUUGGGAAUUACAAGCAUGGUCCAGCUCUCUGUGUUUCCUACAUUCCCUCAAGACUACAGAGGUCAUCUUGCCAGUGUUAGCAGGAAAACUGGCACAAUGACUAGAGUGAACAAUCCAUAUGCAGUAAAUGUUACCAAUGUGAUUUACCUGCUCAGUGCCUUGCCAUAAAAUUUUAGUAUUUUUCAGUGAACUAUGACACUUAACUCCUAUAUUGGCACAUUUUGACCGCUGCAUUUUCCUCCUUCUUUCCAUGUUGCACCUUUUCCUCUUCAGCCCCUUAGCCAAUUGCAUCAGCUCCUGAUUCCCUUUUCAUUCCUCCUUAGCUCACCUCUAAAACGUGUAAUAGCAACACAAGAUAGUCUCCAAAAUGAUCUGGAUAAUUGUAGAAUUGACCACCAGUUAAUAGUG